rnacentral:rRNA from 1 species
UACGGAGGGGGUUAGCGUUGUUCGGUAUUACUGGGCGUAAAGCGUACGUAGGCGGAUUAGUAAGUUGGGGGUGAAAUCCCGGGGCUCAACCCCGGAACUGCCUCCAAAACUACUAGUCUUGAGAUCGUGAGAGGUGAGUGGAAUUCCGAGUGUAGAGGUGAAAUUCGUAGAUAUUCGGAGGAACAUCAGUGGCGAAGGCGGCUCACUGGCACGAUACUGACGCUGAGGUACGAAAGCUAGGGUAGCAAACGGG